CGAGAGGAGAGAAAAAAAAAGCAUUAGGCGGAGGAAAUUUCAGAAAUUCGCAGGAGGGAAGAGGAGAUCCGCGCGAGAGAUUAAUCGCGUUAAAUCGAAGAUUUAGCAUUAUCGGCUAGUGCCUAGUGUAUACACCUUAGCAUAAAUCAAUACGAGCCGCUCUCAUGUCGUAAUUUAUAACAAGAUCUUUUGACCUUUCGGCGGUGCAGGUAAAAAACAUCGAGAAUCAUACGCGGUUGGCGUUAUUUAAUGCCACUACCAGUAAUCGGACAGCAAAUAUGCGGGCGAUGAUCCACUAAACUUUUGCAGAAACAAAAAAAACACGUGUAUACAAUAUACGCAAUUGUUUGGAAAAUCACGUUUUGCUCGAUUCUCGCGAUAUUCUCUUUUUAUCUAAGCGUUUUACCUAAAAGUGGGUGGCCCGCGCUUUCUCUCGUUUCUAAAGCAAUAUACUCGACAGAGAUUGCAACGAAGCCGAUAGUACAGGCCUGCUAAUGUUAUCGAUUAUAAAUUUAGGGUCGAUAUCGAGAGCGUCGUGUGUGUUAAACAGUGGGACCCUCCGAGCUGCUGCGUGCGGAAGAACCGGUUGGCCAAUUUUCUCCGAGAGAGAAUUGGAUAUUUUUUCAGGGUUCGGCGGAGGUGACGAUAUCGCGUCACCCGCCGCUAUUAUCCGGCAUCGUCCACUCGCUACCACAAGGUGACGAGUGUCGCACGUUCUCCCCCAUCAUCGCGUUGCGGAGCAGAGUAAUGAUCGCGUUCUAUCGCGCGCUCUUGCGACGCUAAUCAGGCAAGAUGUGGGAAAUUUGUCGCAUCGGCGCGCAGGUGCGGCCCGAAAUAGUACUGUGCAUCCGCCUCGUUAAGAAGGCGCCAUCAGCCGCCAUCGACGAUCGACCGUCGUUCCACGAAUGCCGAGUUAACUUUAACUCGCCGAGUGGGCAGUUCAAAUCGAAAAGAAGAGAUAGACUCGUCACCGUAGCCGUAGAGAAGCAGGAGGAAAAAGGAGGAAGAGGAUCCCGUCUGUUUACGCGUGCCUUUUGCUCGUAAAAGAUACCAUGCGUUACGUUAAACGAGCGUUCGCCUAACGAAACAUUUAAGGUAUUCGCGACGUUUAAUAGGAAAAUAGUCACCUAGUCGUUUUGCGCAAACAAUUAUUCUACUUAUCUUAAUGUAUUUACGAUCAUUAUGUAUAUAAAUUAAGAAAAAUAAAAAUAAAUAAAUAAAUAGAAAUUCUUCUAUCGUAUUGAGCUUCGUUUCUUGACUACUGAGGCGUAAGAAACAUCUUAGGCGACGAGUUGAGAUUGUUUCAGACAUUUGCAAUGUUUAAAAUCUAUUCUAGUAUGCAGCAAAGUCUGUUUUAGGCAUUUACGAAGUGUAAGAUUUGUUUCAAGCGUUUGCAACGUUCAAGGUCUGUUUCCGAGCAUUUGAAACAUUUACGUCCAUUUCUAGCAAUGCAGAUUAACUCUCAUCUCUCUCGCUCUUCUAUCCUUUUCCCAUUCUUAGAACUAAAAAAAGGUGAAGAGCAAAUUAUAAACCGAGAUCAAAGUUAAUUCGCACUGGUGGAAAUGGACGUUAAAGUUUGUUCCGGGUAUUUGCGAGGUAUUUGAAAAUCUUCAUCCGGAUUCUUUGACGCAAUCGCCGUUGUACAUGCGAUCGGUCUACGUUUCGCGGUGCACGCGCCUAUGCAAAUCUAUCCCAAUAAGCCUUUAAUGUAUGUACAUACAUACUUAGCCGCGAAUUGUGUUUAUAUCAUCAUUCGUCGACCAACGCAGGCGCCACUCGUCCGCUCGAAUAAUGAGACAAAGCUAAAGCGUUGAGAAAAUAGGUAAGAUGGCAUACAAUUCUUCGAAGAUAAGGAGGAAGACAAUUAAUACAACUUACGUCAUUAGAAGAAGUUUUCUAAGAUACUCUCGGAAAGAGUGCUGUGUUCGAGUUUCCGGAUUUGGAAUCCGUUUCUCUACUGUAUAUAUCUAAACACCCUUUUCUCUUCUCUCUAUGAAACAAGUAUGCUUUUACUCUAAACGCGAGGAAGAAGGAGAAAAGAAAAUCUCUGUCGAUGUCUGCGUUGGGUUUACUAUAAAAUUAGACUUAGAUUUAUUUUACUUUUACCUUUCUAAUUCUUAGAGCCAGAAAGAUAGAAAAUAAAUAAAACCAAGUUUGAAGCUACGUUGUGAUGCAAACGGACCUUGAAGGAACAAAUGCAGAUGCAUGCGUUAAAUCGUGCCUACCCGGUAAAAAGGAAACAAGGAAAGAGAAAGCCUCUUUACAUUCCAUUCAUCCUUUGCUAAUCAUGUAAUAAUAUCGAGUACAGCGGUAUUGGUUUUCAAUAUACAGUAUUAGGUGAUCACUUUGGGACUCUCUGCAUGCUUUUAUUACUCGAUUAGCUUUCGGAGCAGGUGGUCGUCCUAUUUAUAACGAUCCCAAUCGAUCAGGAGCAGCGCGAUAAGUUAACCAAAAUUGCCUAGGCUAAGAUUACUCGUGCUUUGGAAGAAUCGGCUAUCGAUGCUGCGAAGAACGGCGCCACGACUACCUCUCGAAUCUGAACGUUUCUUCCUAAUUUAGAGAUCAAACCAAAUUCCUACAUAGUCUUAUUUAUCGUAACAUUGAUCGUCUGCGUUUCCUUCUUUACAGUUCUUCUAUACAGUUAUUCAAAGGAAAGAAUAUAGAAAAUCAAGACAGUAACAAAGCAUGUAGCGCGUUAAUUAAUGGCCUAGUUUACAUCACCGACCGUCUGAUACGCUAUAUCCAGCACUAUUCGUACUAAAUUAACUUAGUUCAAACGAUGUUCAAACGGUAACGUACUAGCCUGAUACGAUACAUACCAGAAAAAGAUGUAUCGAAUCAAAUUAGUGUGAGUACUCAGUACUCAUUUGUAGCGCUUGCUUAUUAAACACGCUUGCGUAUUAAAUAUCCACACAAACAAAAGGAUAUUUCUUGAAUUUCUAAAAGACAUCUUACCACAUCUUGAGAUGUCUUGCAUUUUUUCGAAAGGUUUCGAAAAGAUAUCUUUCAGCGAUCUAAAAGAUAAGAUUUUAUGUGGCACAUAUCCUUAAAGAUGUCUUUUAAUCUAAAAAUAUCUUUAAUAAAAUAGUUAUAAGACCUCGAUAUUUUCUGGGUAAUGAUUUUUGGGAUUUUCUUCAGUUGUCUUCUGUGCUAACAGUAUGACGACAGCGAAUCUGUGAUCCUUUAUUGAAACUUUAUCUGUACUACUCAUCAACUCUAUUCACUUGGUAUCGUCCGAUGUAACUCAAUGCGUACUCAGAUCAAACCUUUAGAGUGCGUACCAUUUGACUCGCGUAUUAAAAAGCCGUACGCGGUGUAAACUAGGACAAUAUGUAUCGCAGGAAACGUCUUUUUUUCUCCUACCUUGCGAGAUAUUCCUGUGGAAUAAAUACACGAGAUCUGAAGCGACGCAGUGAAAUUGUAAUGCGACACUUCAGAUUUUCAUGCAUUCAAAAUAUACGAUAUUGCUGUGAUACGCGAUAUAUAUAUGAUACCUUUAAUGGACGAUCCUUUUCAUUAGCAACGCUUUGGCAAUCAAUUUUCAUUGUUUAGAAAAAGCUUAUCCGAAAAGAGUAGAAUAAAAAGCGUACCUUGCUUUCGUACGGAUGUAAAAAAAAGCGUUUUAAAGAGAAGCGUAUAUGCCGUUAAUCUAUGUGUAAACCAGACAUAUAUAUAGUACCUAUAUAUACUGUCAACAGAAAACAUCAAAGACAGUUAAUCUGUUUUGAAAGUUAUGCGAGAAACGCCAAAUAUAAUGAUAAUAUAAUUAAUACUAGUUGAGCUUUUUAAAUGUGCGUCUUCUAAAUUAAGUAAUUAUAAGUUGGCAAUCAGUGCAUAUUAAACUUAUCUCUUGUACAUCUGAAUUUUUCGAGCUGCUUAUUCUAUUUUAUUUCCCGGCACGAAGGGCACGUGAUAUUAAAUUAAUAUCUUUAAAAUAUGUUUAAUUUUUUAUUUAAAAAUAUAACUUAUACAAUAAUUCAACAGGCAUAAAGAUUAUUCGUAACUUAAUACGUGUGUGAAUAUACGAUUUAUCUCUCUUUACUCUCAAAUUCGAAUAAAUUAUAAAUGAUUCAAAUAUUACUUUUCUGUUUUAAUAAGCUUUUGAGUUGACAUAGUGUCAUUGUGAUUUUGAUCAACAAUUGUGCGGAUAAAAUUCAUACGUCAUCACGGGCGCUAUUAUUUAAGAAUCAAGAUGAGCUGUGGAAAAUAUAGCAAAUUGGAGGGAAAGCAAAAAUAAAUGAACUAAGAAUAAACGAAUAAAUAAAAAUUGCUGCAAUUUGCUCCAUAAUGUAAGUCACAUACAAUAUGCGUGGUAAACUCAAUAUACGUUAUUUUCAGAAUAUAGCCAAAGAUCGUGUGAUACUGUUAAUACAACUGUUAUUCAGUUUAAAACGUAUUCAUGAUUUUGUUUUAUUAACGUUUAUGUCGUCAAUAUAUUCUUUCUUUAAUAUUCUUGCUUUUCAAGUUCUUAUAUAACCUCAUGUAUGUUAUCGUUCUCAAUGUGUCUUUGAAAAAAAUUUAUGAGAAACAUAAUUACAGCAUUUCAAUUCGUUAAUAUAAAACUCAAUACUUACGUUCAGCAAACAAAGCAGAUCAGGAAGUGCUCAGUGAUCUUUUUUUAAACAUUAUUUGUCCUUAUGUUUAAUUCUUUGUUGAAUUUACCAAUCAUAGAAACCAAUCAUAAUAAAAAAAUUAUUAAUUUGCUUUGUCCGCUGAAUACAGAUAAUACUAUUUGAUAUUAAAAUUAAACACGAUUCACUCCUAAUGGUUUCUGUAAUAAUUGAGGAUUAGCUAAUGCUAAUGCUAAUAAUAAAGGGGAAAAAGGAAUUCUUAUUACACAUGACAUAGAACGUGAUAGUUGCGUCGAGACAGAGAGAUUCAGGAAGAUAAACAUUACUUUUCAAAUUACAUUUGUAUUACUUUAUCAUCACUAUUAUGCCGCGCGUUACUUUAAAGAAAAGUAGUAAACAAAAUAUUACUUCACUUUGCGUUAGAAUUUGUUUUUAAAAUGACAUAAGAAAUUACAGUUACGCGCUAUUCUCAUUUCUAUUACUAUCAUAUUGAGCAAGUUUUAAUGGCGUUCGCUGCCAUUAUAUAACGUUGUUAUAAACGAUUUGUUACGCGAAUCGGAAUGUCACACAUGUGUGACAUGUACGGUAACGGAUGUAUCAACUGAGACCUUUAUCUCAUUUCUGCAUAUGAAAACUAGAACUUUCCCAUGUACAAUAGUAUGUAAAUGGAUGCAUUGUGUGUGCGCGUGUGUACGCGCGCGCCCGCACAGCCAUGAAUAAAUAUCCAAAUGGUACAAUUUUAAAUUAUUUAAUGUUUUUGCGCUUGUUUUAUAAAAAUAAAAUAUUGAAAAUGUAAUCUUUAAGACCGACGCAAUUUUAUACUAUAUAUAAAAAAAUUGCUGCUCCAUUUAUCGUGAUCACUGUGCAUUAAUCAUUAACGAUCGUGUAAAAUUCAACAAACAUUUUUCAUCAAAGGCAUCUUCAGCGUAUUGUGAUUGUAUAAUAUAAAUAAACGUACUGUGCAAUAAUGCACAGUUAACACUCGAAAAAUAACUCGAAGCUCAAA